rnacentral:lncRNA from 1 species
UUGUGUCAUCCAGAAUGUUUUGUUUUUUAAGAAAAUUGAAUUACUUGUUUCCUGAAAUAUUCUGAGGUUAAUAUGUUAGUUUUCAUAGAACAUUGAGAGGCCCCUGCCACUUUCAAUAAAGACCUGACUUGGAGACAUGCAGGUGUGUGUGGUGGGGCCCGGGCCAUGCGGGGCUGCAGCGUCCCUGGUCCCGAGUCCUCAUCACAGCACGCAGAGACGGCAGCCCAGCCCCCCUUCGAAACUUCCCUGUGACGGAUUCCUGGGCUCUGCUUGGCCCACCGGAAGAACAGAGCAGGCAGAGGAGAAUGCAGGGCCCAGAAAACUUGCCUCCACCACCAUGAGUAGAAAUGGGAGCUGAGCGGACAUCGAAAUGGGCAGCUGACCAGGGCUGCCUCCUGCAAAAUUACCUUUCAAAUGUGUACUUGCUCUCAGCCCGGAAGAAGUAGACGUGGGAUUUGAACUGG